rnacentral:rRNA from 1 species
CGCCUGGUGAAUGGCUCGGCUCGGAAGCCGACGAAGGACGUGCCAAGCUGCGAAAAGCCUGAGGGAGCCGCACGGAGGCUAAGAACUCAGGGUUUCCGAAUGGGAAUCCCCACCGCAAUUGCUUCGCGCAAUGGGGAACGCCGGGAACUGAAACAUCUCAGUACCGGCAGGAAGAGAAAACGCAAUGUGAUGUCGUUAGUAACUGCGGGUGAACGCGACACAGCUCAAACUGAAGGUCUCACGACCGAUGUGGUGUAUGGGCUGACGAUCAUCACUCGAACACCGUCACGAAGUCCCCUGGAACGGGGCGCGAAACAGGGUGACAGCCCCGUACUGACGGCAAGUACAGUGUGAGUUAGUUCCGGAGUAGCAAGGGUUGGAAAUCCCUUGUGAAUAUGGCAGGCAUCGACUGCUAAAGCUAAACACUCUCCGAGACCGAUAGCGAACAAGUAGCGUGAGCGAACGCUGCAAAGUACCCUCCAACGGGAGGUGAAAUAGGGCCUGAAAUCAGGUGGCGAUGGAGCGACAGGGCAUACAAGGUCCUGUGAAAAACGACACAGCCGCGAGGCUGCAGUAGGAAUCACAGGAAGCCGAUGUUCUGUCGUACGUUUUGAAAAACGGACCAGGGAGUGUGCUUGUUUGGCGAGCCUAACCCGAUUAUCGGGGAAGGCACAGGGAAACCAACAUGGCCGCAGGGCUUUGCCCCAGGGCCGCCGUGUUCAAGUGCGGGGAGUCAAACGGGCACGACCCGAAUCCGGACGAUCUAUGCGUGGGUAAGGUGAAGCAUGGCGAAAGUCAUGUGGAGGCCUGUUAGAGUUGGUGUCCUACAAUACCCUCUCGUAACCUACGUAUAGGGGUGAAAGGCCCAUCGAGUCCGGCAACAGCUGGUUCCGACCGAAACAUGUCGAAGCAUGACCUCCGCCGAGGUAGUCUGUGAGGUAGAGUGACUGAUUGCCGUGUCCGCCCUCGAGAGAGGUCGGCGCGGCUGUCAAACUCCGAACUCACGGACGCUUUUGACGCGGGGAGUCCGGUGCGCGGGGUAAGCCUGUGUACCAUAAGGGAGACAACCCAGCGCCGGGUUAAGGUCCCAAAGUGUGGAUUAAGUGCGAUCGAAGGUUGUCUCGAGCCCUAAACAGCCGGGAGGUGAGCUUAGAAGCAGCUACCCUCUAAGAAAAGCGUAACAGCUUACCGGCCGAGGUUCGAGGCGCCCAAAAUGAUCGGGGCUCAAAUCCACCACCGAUACCUGGCCACACCCGUCACAGGGUGGUUGCGUAGGUCGGCGCUCCGCGUGGGUGGAAGUACGGGCGAGAGCUCGUAUGGACCGCGUGGUGACGCAAAUCCUGGUUGUAGUAGCAGCGAAAGUCGGGUUAGAAUCCUGACGGCCGAAAGGGCAAGGGUUCCUCAGCACUGUUCGUCAACUGAGGGUUAGCCGGUCCUAAGUGGCAUCGUAACUCGCGUGUCACAAAAGGGAAACUGGUUAAUAUUCCAGUGCCACAGUGCAGUGAAAGCCGACGCUCUGGGGUCGACCGAACCGGGCCAUCGCCCGGUCGAACUGUCCAAAUCCGUGGAAGCCGUAAUGGCACGAAGCGGACGAACGGCAGGAUAGCGAAAGUCGGUUCAACCUAGAGCCCGUGAAAAGGCGAGCACUGUGUCCGUACCGAGAUCCGACACAGGUGCCCAUGGCGGCGAAAGCCAAGGCCUGUCGGGAACAACCGACGUUAGGGAAUUCGGCAAGUUAGUCCCGUACCUUCGGAAGAAGGGAUGCCUGCUCGGGAAACGAGCAGGUCUCAGUGACUCGGACGCUCCGACUGUCUAAUAACAACAUAGGUGACCGCAAAUCCGCAAGGACUCGUACGGUCACUGAAUCCUGCCCAGUGCGGGUAUCUGAACACCUAGUACAAUAGGACGAAGGACCCGUCAACGGCGGGGGUAACUAUGACCCUCUUAAGGUAGCGUAGUACCUUGCCGCUUCAGUAGCGGCUUGCAUGAAUGGAUUAACGAGAGCGUCACUGUCCCAACGUUGGGCCCGGUGAACCAUACGUUCCAGUGCGGAGUCUGGAGACCCCCAAGGGGAAGCGAAGACCCUAUGGAGCUUUACUGCAGGCUGUCGCUGAGACGUGGUCGCUGAUGUGCAGUGUAGGUAGGAGCCGUUACCGAGGCCCAUGCGCUAGCAUGGCGCCCAGGCACCCAUGAAACACUACCCGUCAGUGACUGCGACUCUCACUCCGGGAGGAGGACACCGGUAGCCGGGCAGUUUGACUGGGGCGGUACGCGCUUGAAAAGAUAUCGAGCGCGCCCCAAGGCCACCUCAGGCGAGUCGGAAACUCGCCGGAGAGCGCAAGAGCAAAAGGUGGCUUGACAGUGUUCUUCCCAACGAGGAACGCUGACGCGAAAGCGUGGUCUAGCGAACUGAUGCGCCCGCUUGAUGCGGGCCAUGAAUGACAGAAAAGCUACCCUAGGGAUAACAGAGUCGUCACUCGCAAGAGCACAUAUCGACCGAGUGGCUUGCUACCUCGAUGUCGGUUCCCUCCAUCCUGCCCGUGCAGAAGCGGGCAAGGGUGAGGUUGUUCGCCUAUUAAAGGAGGUCGUGAGCUGGGUUUAGACCGUCGUGAGACAGGUCGGCUGCUAUCUAUUGGGGGUGUUUGGUGCCUGACGGGAACGACCGUAUAGUACGAGAGGAACUACGGUUGGUGGCCACUGGUGUACCAGUCAUUCGAGAGAGUGUUGCUGGGAAGCUACGCCACACGGGGUAACGGCUGAACGCAUCUAAGCCGGAAACCCACCUGGAAAAGAGGCACCGCUGAGAUCACUCGUCUAAGACGAGAUCGAUAGACUCGGGGUGUACGCGUCGAGGCAACGAGACGUUCAGCCCACGAGUACUAACAGAUCGAAGCC